AAAAGUGCUAUGAUGCUGAAAAACUACCUAUUUUAUGAUGGAAAAAGCUUUGUUUUUCCCUGAUUAAAAAUUACCAAUGGAUCCUUCUGAGCACUUUA